UCUCAGCAUUGAAAAGCCAGGCCCAAAGAAAACAAUCCAGGGACCUGAUCCUGCACUCCUUUCUGAGAUCUGCAGUAGCUAUAAACAGCCCAGCGUGACCCUCAGCCCCAGAUGUGUAAAAAGCUUUGGAAGCAAUCUCGAUUAGAGGAGCCAUACCUCAUGUGACUGUCAGGUCUGACCAUCUCUCCUCUGAAGCCUAAAAGGAGGGAAGCCCAUAGCUGGAAAGGUGAGCCUGGAAGCUGAAAGACAAAAAACACCAAUUGGAAACAUAAAUUUAUCCUUCCUGCAAAUGUUCAUGCUAAUCAACCCUGGUGAUAGAAUGU
rnacentral:lncRNA from 1 species